GCCGAGAUGGCGUCCGAUUUGCAAUGAUAGGAUACAUGAUUAUAACUGGAAGACGUCUAAUGCGAUAUGUAACAUGCUUGGAUACGCCUCAGGGCAACCUCUCUCCUGAUAAGAUUAAAAGAAUGAAAUUGAUCAUGCCGAUUGAUUAUAUGUAUGCACUGACACAACUGGACUGUACUGAGCCUAUGAGCAAUGGCGGAUCCCCCAGCCAUUUACUGAGGUGCAGUUACCAGCUCUACACGCAUAACGAAGUGUGUGGGAGACCUAUCAUCUUGAAGUGCACCAUGCCAAAAGGUCAACCUCUCAUACUAAGAAAUUUCGUAUCAUACAACGGUCAAGUUCAAUUAUGUCCUCCUGAUGAGGUAAUCGAUGAUUCAACGUACCCUGCGCGACAGGUGUCAUUUGGGAUUGUAUCAACCUAUCUCCACUCAUUCUGGGGUUCGCUAAACGAGAAUUCAUCAUCAAUGGUGGGAUAUGAUCAGACCAAUAACAUAUGCAAGCAGCUUGGUUUCACUGGGGCUGUUAGGGAUAGUGCUCGGACCGUUAGCAGUUACAAAGGACAAUACUCAUUCACAAACUGUCAUGGAGACAAAUCUGGUCUUCAGCGUGCGUGGCUGACAGUAUCUCAGACAUCACGAUGCAACUCCAACCCCUGUUCGUGUUUUUCUUGUUGCUAUGAGCAACCAGAAGACGGGCACCAAUGUUCAGUGGCAGAGCUGCAGACAGACGGACAAUGCCCUAAAGGGCACUGCUGUACGGAGAAUGAUGUCGUCAUAGAGUGCACGUUUGACAAGAUGUCCAGCUCACCCCCUCUCUCUGGUACAAAGGAUGUCUGUGCCUUUGAAAAUGGUCAGAAGCUUCUUUCAUUCUCCAGCACAGGGUGCACUUCGUCAGUUUAUCCCAUCAUCCGAAGAGAGGAGGCGUAAUUUAUUAGCUUGGUGACAGGUGACCUCUUUGUGCUGGCAAAAUUAGUGAUGUAUCUAAUGUGAAGUCGAGUGCAGUACAGUCAGAAGCAGUUUCUAGCUGGACUCCUUGUACCCACUGUGGCCUUUGUGUUUGUCUUGGGGGUUCUGCUCCUGUACAUGUUCGUUAGUCGUUAUUAUCACAAGAAACGCAGACAGGAUUAUCAACAAUUACAAGGAGUUAAUGAAGGUGGUGGUGGUGCUCGCGAAGAAGGGAACUAACUGUGAAUUGUGAACAUGAAUUUUGUAUUGAAAUAUGCACUUGUACUUACAAUGUAAUUAGAAAUGUUACUGUGAGUGUAGGAAUGUUAAUUAUUACUUUUUGUUUUUGUACUGCUGCGCCCCCUUUUGCUAUAGAUAAUACUUUGUUGUUGUAAAGAGGCCCUGCGCGUCUCUGUUCCCUUGUAUCUGUGCAUGUAUGUUCUUUCUGUGAUCUCUAUUGUAUUGACCCUGAAACUCUGUCAAUUGUUCGUCGCUAGCUAUAGCUCAAACUGCUAUGCACCAGAUCUCUUGCCAAUAUUUUGUCAUUUCCAAUCAAAUUAAUAAAAACAUCAUUAAAUGUUUGGUAAGUCAGCUCAGAAAUGUUCACAGCAUGUAUGGUUGGUUAUAUUGGUUAACGACUCGAUAGCGUUACAGGUGUCACUAUAAAUAGUAAUCAUUCUACUCUAAUAAUUAUAGGCACAAAAUUCUAUUACCGCAUAUAAUUUAUAAGUAUGUCAACACAAAAGAAUCACUUAAUUCCGAUAAGAAACACAAUCACUAUGAAGAUUAACAGUACCAGCCUACUUGUUCUGGGUAAUGGAUGCAGGUACACUUGAAGUAACAGCACAAUCUUUUCUUCCCUUUCUACUGAGAAGUGGUGCACUGUUUGUUUUCGCCGAUGCUCCCUGGCCAUUGGCAUUACUCAAUGAUCCGGGCUGUUUCUUUGUGUGCCCAUUGCUGGGUUUUGAGGGAGCCGGUCUGUUAGUUUGUCCCGAUGGUUUGGAACUAUUGGUUGACGAUCGCACCUUGACUCCUGUUUUUGGUGGGGGUUGCUGAGGGGCUGUUCUACGACGCCCACCGGGUAGUCCGCUAUACUUAUUUGCUGACGGUCGUCUCUCAGUUCCUGUUACCUGUUUCGAAGUGGAGGAUGGUUUAGAUAAAUCGGACUGUUUUCCAUUGCUGUUUUUAACAUCUUUUUCUUGUGUGCCGUUUAUUAUUCUUUUUGGUUUAUUUGACUUUUUGUCAGCAUUAUUCUUUAAUUUAUUGUUUUGCUGAUUCGGCAAAUCUGUUUUCUUUAAUUCAACACAAUUUCCAUUUUGGUUUGCAAUUAUUCCUUUAGUAUCUGUAGUUUCUAUAUCCCCUGAUAUAUUAGUAGUUUUUUUGGAGCGGUAGCAGCAGCAGCAACACACCAAUAUCAAACUAAAUAUUAAAACACCGACAAUCACAGAGCAGACCACAGCGAUAAUGAUGAUUUCAAAUUGCUCAAGUGCAUCAGAGAGCCCACCAGUGGACUCACCACCACCAGCACCAGCACCAGCACCA